rnacentral:rRNA from 1 species
UACGAAGGGGGCUAGCGUUGCUCGGAAUCACUGGGCGUAAAAGGUGCGUAGGCGGGUCUUUAAGUCAGGGGUGAAAUCCUGGAGCUCAACUCCAGAACUGCCUUUGAUACUGAAGAUCUUGAGUUCGGGAGAGGUGAGUGGAACUGCGAGUGUAGAGGUGAAAUUCGUAGAUAUUGGCUGGAACACCGGUGGCGAAAGCGGCUCUCUGGCCCGGUUCUGACGCUGAGGCACGAAAGCGUGGGGAGCAAACAGG